UCACACGAUCUAGCUCUGUUUUAAGUGAAACUGAAGUCAUAUGCUAGAGAAAAAAAAUACAGCUGGUAUGCAAAAAGAGGCUUUUUAUUUACUUAUAUGACUUGUUCCUUCUUAGUUUCAACUGGUUCCCAAAGUAUCCCAAAGACAUGACCACUAAAUGUGUAGAAAAAUCACCAAGCUUUGGCCCUGCUCUUUCCACUCUUGCAUUCUUCUAUAAAGCUUUUUUCCUACAGGUCAGGGAUAACCUAAGUUCAAUGUUAUGAAACUCUCACUUUAGCUCCAUGUUAAGUCAGGAGAGCAAAAAAUCUUCACCUGUCUCUCUGAGCCAAAGUAUUUGAGGCUCAUUUGCUUAUAAAAGACACAUUUGUUGAAGGGCUACUGUAUGAUACAGCCUCUACUAGGUGCUAGAGGUUUGGAGAAGUCAGAAUCCCUAUCUUAGUGAACUCAAAGUCUUGUGUGGGGUGGUAAAUGAGCACUGACAAUUACCUGACAGGGAAGAGUGCUGUUAGACUAAAGCCCCAGGGGCUCAUGGGUUCACUGAAAGGGCACCAGAGUGAGGGGAGGGAGAUUGGGCAUGCAUCAAGGAAGGUUCCUAGAUCAAGUGCCACCUGAGCUGAGCCUUUAAUUAACCAGCAGGAAAGAAGGGUGGUGUUCCAACAUAGGGAGCAGAAUAUGCACAGGCAUCCACAGCUGCUUUUUCCUGCCACUUACCCAGAAACUUCCCUGCUUUACUCUUCCAAUAAAUAGCUUGUCUGGCCCUAAACCCCCAAUAUUCUUGAAGGGGGAAAGUGAAAUUUUUAAAUUUUAGAAAAACAUAUGACUAUGGAAACACAUUACUCUCUCCCAGUGCCUAAGACAGGGCCAAGCAAUGAGGAAGCCAGAAGCUUCAGCUUCACUGGGCUUAUGGUAAAUCUGCUUCUGCUCUGAACCCAGCCAUAUCUAAGGCUAGUUCAUCCUUUGAACCUCUCAGUUACACAAGCCUAUAAAUUUCUUUUGCAGUCAGAAUUAGUUUCUGUGGCUUGCAAUGUAAAGUCUUGACUAAUACACAGCGUGUCUUUGCAUGGAGGUGCUGUGGCUGCCUGUAGUAUGUGAAGCACCUGUAGUUUCACAAGUGUAAAGGAUCGGGAACCAGAGGAGCCCACUCUUUCAGGCAACCAACAGGCUUGGGCCAGGGACAAAAGUGGGGAGAAGACCUAAAAUUGAAAGGGCUGAACAGAAGUGCCAGCAAAGGAGUUCCAGAAGGAAAAACUGAAAGGAAGAGUGGAUAACCUAUACUUUAAAAAAGAAGAAAGAAAUGACUGAAGAUUUCUAAUCAAAACAUCAGAAUACCAUAUGUACUGAGCAAGAAAGAAAAACCACCAGAAUUACAAAGAGAAACUGACAACCCCACUCUCUGAGUGGGAGAUUUUAACAAUCAAACA